UAACUAUAACGGUCCUAAGGUAGCGAAAUUCCUUGUCGGGUAAGUUCCGACCUGCACGAAUGGCGUAAUGAUGGCCAGGCUGUCUCCACCCGAGACUCAGUGAAAUUGAACUCGCUGUGAAGAUGCAGUGUACCCGCGGCAAGACGGAAAGACCCCGUGAACCUUUACUAUAGCUUGACACUGAACAUUGAGCCUUGAUGUGUAGGAUAGGUGGGAGGCUUUGAAGUGUGGACGCCAGUCUGCAUGGAGCCAACCUUGAAAUACCACCCUUUAACGUUUGAUGUUCUAACCUAGGCCCAUAAACUGGGUCGGGGACCGUGUCUGGUGGGUAGUUUGACUGGGGCGGUCUCCUCCUAAAGAGUAACGGAGGAGCACGAAGGUUGGCUAAGCAUGGUCGGACAUCAUGCGGUUAGUGCAAAGGCAUAAGCCAGCUUGACUGCGAGAGUGACGGCUCGAGCAGGUACGAAAGUAGGUCUUAGUGAUCCGGUGGUUCUGAAUGGAAGGGCCAUCGCUCAACGGAUAAAAGGUACUCCGGGGAUAACAGGCUGAUACCGCCCAAGAGUUCAUAUCGACGGCGGUGUUUGGCACCUCGAUGUCGGCUCAUCACAUCCUGGGGCUGAAGUAGGUCCCAAGGGUAUGGCUGUUCGCCAUUUAAAGUGGUACGCGAGCUGGGUUUAGAACGUCGUGAGACAGUUCGGUCCCUAUCUGCCGUGGGCGUUGGAAGAUUGAGAGGGGUUGCUCCUAGUACGAGAGGACCGGAGUGAACGCACCACUGGUGUUCGGGUUGUCAUGCCAAUGGCAUUGCCCGGUAGCUAAGUGCGGAAGAGAUAACCGCUGAAAGCAUCUAAGCGGGAAACUUGCC
rnacentral:rRNA from 1 species